CUAAAGUUGCGUGAUUGUGCUGUGUGAAACGCGUAAAAGGUAGAGGUGCACGGGAUAUAGCUUAGGUUUAAGUCCCAGGGGAAGAAACAGGCUAAGAAAAGCAGAGCUUCUUUUUCGUUCAUCGAAGAAGUGCGUAGAUUCUUCUUUGUCUGUUUUUCCAAGCUGAGGGAUCUGGCUUGGGUUAGAGUCCCAGUGGAAGGAACGUGCUAUGAAACACGGAGCUUCUUUUUUGGUAAUCAAAGAAGAGCGUAGAUUUUUCUUUGUCCGUUUUUCCGGCCAAAGAACAGCUUGGGUUUAAGUCCCAGUGGAAGGAACGGGCUAAGAAAAGACAGAGUUUCUUUUUCCUAAUUGAAAAAGGGCGUAUAUUCUUUUUUUGUCCAUUUUUCCAUCCUGGAUAGGCAUAAAAAAUAUAAAGCGCUGGAGUUUGUGUGACUGGUAGGAUAAAUUGACUCUGUCAUGUAACAUGGAGUGUGGGGAAGGAACAAAUGGUGCAAAAAAGUGAGUAUGGAUUGCUCCCAGGAAUAAAUUAGCGGGGCCGACAUUCCAAAUUUUAACAGCAGAUGGUGUAAAAUCUGAGUUAGGUAUUAGUGAGUAAAUUGGCAAAGCUGAAAUUCCAAAAGAUGGGGCCAAAUCGUUGCCAGAAGCCAAAAUUGAACGUGGUCUGAUCAAUGGAACACACACGAGGGCACAAAGGUGGUUUUUAUUUUCUUUUAAUUGUAUUUUAUUUUACUUGCUUGGCUGAAAUAUAUUCUGUAACCGCUUAAAGCAAUAUUAUCACAGAAUUAGACUAAGCUGCCCACCCUUAUGAGAAUAGGGAUGUGUUAAAAAGGGUAGGAAGAGAUGAGUUCUUGUUUUCUUUUAAUUUUAUUUUAUUUUCUUUAAAUUGUAUUUUAUUUUAAUUGCUUGGCUGGAAUGUAUUCUGUAACCGCUUAAAGCAAUAUUAUCACAGAAUUAGACUAAGCUGCCCACCCUUAUGAGAAUACGGGUGUGUUGAAAGAAAAGAAAAGAAAUCAAUUCAAAGGCUUUGAUUUAUUUUGAUUUAAUGGUUGACCAAAGUCUGACUUUGAAGUAUUGGUUUUAUAAAAGGGGAAGUAAAGAAAAGAGGAAGUAGGGUGCUUGCCAGGGGGGUUUCCACAGAAUUUCGGUGGAAAGAGUGAAACGGAAAUGAGCUGCCCGGAAAAACCGCAGGGGAUGAGCGUGGGAAGCUGGACAGUAUAGAAGCCGUAGGCGUGGGAAACUGGACAGUAUAGAAGCCGUGGGCGUGGGAAACUGGACAGUAUAGAGGCCAGCGGAAAAGGGAAGGGCCAGAGAAGUCUAUAAAAAGGUCACCUUGGACAUCUACGGGGCUCUCUCCUGGACCGCGGUCAGAACGAACAGAAGCCGGUAGGAGUUUCAAGACCUUUUUCCAAAGCCUUCGAGAUUUUUGUGUUAGACGCAAGAUUGCUGGCACGGAUUAACUUGGAUUUACUCAAAAGAAUUGGACUGGACAACUUUGCUUGAGAAACUAGGUCAUCGGACAGUUAGUCUGGGACAGCUGUCUCCCGGUCGGCGAACCGUUAAUAAGCGCACAACGUUGAGCUGGUACGACGUCUCCUCAACCCUGAGCUCAUCACCGAUGAGAGGUGCUCUUCCGGACGGCGCUAGUGGAUGGACUUCCGCCAGACGUGAAGAAGCAGCUGAUGUCAGACCCUGACAUUCUGGUUUGUGCCGAAGCACGAUUUAAACGUCAUCUUUUGUAUCACUGCAGAACGUUCACUGAGUCACAAGCUAAAGUUGAGAACGAGACAGACGCAUUAUCAAAACAGUUGCUGAAAUUACAAUUGGCAAAGAUGCAUGGUGAAGCUAAACAGUCAAAAUCACAGAAAAAGGAAAUGCAAAUGUCACAGGCUCCUCAGGUGGUUGGGCGCGGGAGGGGCCAGUUCCGGGGUGGAUACAGGGGCCGGGGAGUGAGUGCGCCUGCUUACCAGGGGAGGGCGACAUAC